CCUGUACCGAUACAUGAAUGAUGGAGUGACGGAGAAGGUUAUUGCAGCCCGGUUAUCGGAUUCCGGGUUAAGUGUCAAGUCUUGCAAGUUGGCAAAUCCGCUUGCUAUAAUGGUGAGGCACGAAUACGAGUGAACCCGCAAGGUAGUAGCGAAGCUGCAUAUAUCAUGCUUCCAAGAAAAGCUUCUAGUUUAUCAUUGUAUCGACCGUACCGAGAACGAACACACGUGGUCAAGGAGAGUAUCCUAAGGCUAGCGAGUUAACUAUUGUUAAGGAACUCUGCAAAUUAAUCCCGUAAGUUCGCGAGAAGGGAUGCUCAUUAAUUUGAGCCGCAGUGAAGAGCGAGGGGGAACUGUUUAACAAAAACACAGCUCUAUGCUAAAUCGUAAGAUGAUGUAUAUGGGGUGACACCUGCCCAGUGCCGGAAGGUUAAGGAAGGAUGUUAG
rnacentral:rRNA from 2 species